UACGGAGGGGGCUAGCGUUGUUCGGAAUUACUGGGCGUAAAGCGCGCGUAGGCGGACCUGCAAGUCGGGGGUGAAAGCCCGAGGCUCAACCUCGGAACUGCCUUCGAUACUGCGGGUCUCGAGUCCGGGAGAGGUGAGUGGAAUUCCUAGUGUAGAGGUGAAAUUCGUAGAUAUUAGGAAGAACACCAGUGGCGAAGGCGGGCGAUCUGGACGAUGACUGACGCUGAGACGCGAAAGCGUGGGGAGCAAACAGG
rnacentral:rRNA from 1 species